GAGUAAUAGGGCUGGGGUUGUAGC
rnacentral:piRNA from 1 species